CCUACGGGGAGCAGCAGUGGGGAAUAUUGCACAAUGGGGGGAACCCUGAUGCAGCGACGCCGCGUGGGUGAAGGAGUAUUUCGGUAUGUCAAGCCCUAUCAGCAGGGAAGAACAAUGACGGUACCUGACUAAGAAGCACCGGCUAACUACGUGCCAGCAGCCGCGGUAAUACGUAGGGGGCAAGCGUUAUCCGGAUUUACUGGGUGUAAAGGGAGCGUAGACGGCAGGGCAAGUCUGGAGUGAAAGGCGGGGGCUCAACCCCAGGACUGCGCUGGAAACUGUCCGGCUGGAGUGCAGGAGAGGUAAGUGGAAUUCCGAGUGUAGCGGUGAAAUGCGUAGAUAUGAGGAGGAACACCAGUGGCGAAGGCGGCUUACUGGACUGUAACUGACGUUGAGGCUCGAAAGCGUGGGGAGCAAACAGGAUUAGAUACCCUUGUAGUC
rnacentral:rRNA from 1 species